GUAGGUGAACCUGCGGAGGGAUCAUUACCGAGUGAGGGCCGCCCGCCCGACCUCCCACCCCCUGUGACCCGACCCCGUUGCCUCCGGGGCGACCCGGCCUUUGGGCCGCAGGCCCCCGGUGGACCCCCCCACCCUGCAUCCCGCCGUCCGAGUGCCCCUUGAAUUGGUGAAAACUUUCAACAACGGAUCUCUUGGUUCUG
rnacentral:misc_RNA from 1 species